rnacentral:rRNA from 1 species
UACGUAGGCAGCAAGCGUUGUUCGGAAUUACUGGGCGUAAAGAGUGUGUAGGCGGUGCUCCAAGUCUGGUGUGAAAUCUCCCGGCUCAACUGGGAGGGUGCGCCGGAAACUGGAAUGCUAGAGUGUGGGAGAGGUAAGCGGAAUUCCUGGUGUAGCGGUGAAAUGCGUAGAUAUCAGGAGGAACACCUGUGGUGUAGACAGCUUACUGGACCACGACUGACGCUGAGACACGAAAGCGUGGGUAGCAAACAGG